rnacentral:lncRNA from 1 species
AAAAGAACCCUAGUUAUAGAAGAAUCCAUACAUGUUGUUUUUGAUGAUUCUAGUGAUACCUCUUCUAGUAAGAGAGUUAAUCUUGAUGAUGAUGCUGAAAUUCUUGAAGAAAAGAUAGAUAAGAUGACGUUACAAGAUGAUAAUCAAAAAUUAAUUGGAGGUGCAUCAUCAAGCCAAGAGGCUAUUAUGGAUCAUGGGCUGACUAAGGCUUGGAGGUUUGCUCACGGGCAUCCUAAGGAAUUAAUUCUAGAUGAUCCAUCUCAACCUGUUAGGACUAGAGCAUCUCUUAGGAACUUAAACAAUCAUCUAGCUUUC